AUUGAACGCUGGCGGCGUGCCUAACACAUGCAAGUCGAGCGGUAACAGGUGUAGCAAUACAUGCUGACGAGCGGCGGACGGGUGAGUAACGCUUGGGAAUCUGCCUGAUAGUGGGGGACAACCCGGGGAAACUCGGGCUAAUACCGCAUACGCACUACGGUGGAAAGCCGGGGCCCGCAAGGCCUGGCGCUAACAGAUGAGCCCAAGUCGGAUUAGCGAGUGGGUAGGGUAACGGCCGACCAAGGCGACGAUCCGGAACUGGUCUGAGAGGACGACCAGUCACACCGGAACUGAGACACGGUCCGGACUCCUACGGGAGGCAGCAGUGGGGAAUAUUGGACAAUGGGCGAAAGCCUGAUCCAGCGACGCCGCGUGGGUGAAGAAGGCCUGCGGGUUGUAAAGCCCUUUCGGUGGGGAAGAAAAGCCUCGAGCUAAUACCUCGGGGUCUUGACGUAACCCAUAGAAGAAGCACCGGCUAACUCUGUGCCAGCAGCCGCAGUAA
rnacentral:rRNA from 1 species